rnacentral:snoRNA from 1 species
AGGCGCUGAUGAUGAAAUAAGAUUACCAUCAAACUUUGAGAGAUUCACAGCUCGUUGAUGCAUACCUCUUUUUAUAAUCUGAGCCU